GACGAACGCUGGCGGCGUGCUUAACACAUGCAAGUCGAACGCUGAAGCUCAGCUUGCUGGGUGGCUGAGUGGCGAACGGGUGAGUAACACGUGAGUAACCUGCCCUCUUCUUUGGGAUAACGCCCGGAAACGGGUGCUAAUACUGGAUAUUCACUGAUUCUCGCAUGGGGGUUGGUGGAAAGGUUUUUUCUGGUGGGGGAUGGGCUCGCGGCCUAUCAGCUUGUUGGUGGGGUGAUGGCCUACCAAGGCUUUGACGGGUAGCCGGCCUGCGAGGGUGACCGGUCACAGUGGGACUGAGAUACGGACCAGACUCCUACGGGAGGCAGCAGUGGGGAAUAUUGCACAAUGGGCGAAAGCCUGAUGCAGCGACGCCGCGUGAGGGAUGGAGGCCUUCGGGUUGUAAACCUCUUUCGCUCAUGGUCAAGCCGCAGCUUGGGGUUGUGGUGAGGGUAGUGGGUAAAGAAGCGCCGGCUAACUACGUG
rnacentral:rRNA from 1 species